rnacentral:misc_RNA from 1 species
UAGCAGAAUAUUUACUAACAAAAGUUGGCCUUAAAUCUGUUCUAUAAACAAGCAACAUCCCACAUAAAAAUUUGUUCUCCAAGUGAGGUGUUUUUUUGGCUGGUUAUCUAAACUAAAUGAUUAAUGAUCUACGGAUCUACACAAAAAUUUGAAUCUAUGGUUGCUCAUGGUUAUGACAGUUACGCAAGAGAACUGCCAUUAUUUUCAGUCCAACUUGACGUACAGAAAUCAGGAAACAGGUCAUUUGCCUUGAAUUGCAUGAUCAGCAUUAACAAAGCAGUAGGUUGAAUGGUGCAAAAUUACAAAUAAAAAGACCAAUUUAGAGGAAUUGGCAUUUCUCCAUCAAGGAAG